rnacentral:rRNA from 1 species
AGAGGGGGACCUUCGGGCCUCUUGCCAUCGGAUGUGCCCAGAUGGGAUUAGCUAGUAGGUGGGGUAAAGGCUCACCUAGGCGACGAUCCCUAGCUGGUCUGAGAGGAUGACCAGCCACACUGGAACUGAGACACGGUCCAGACUCCUACGGGAGGCAGCAGUGGGGAAUAUUGCACAAUGGGCGCAAGCCUGAUGCAGCCAUGCCGCGUGUAUGAAGAAGGCCUUCGGGUUGUA